GAUGAACGCUAGCGGCAGGCCUAACACAUGCAAGUCGAGGGGUAACUAGAGUGAUAGCAAUAUUACUUUGGCUAGACCGGCGCACGGGUGCGUAACACGUAUGCAACCUACCUUAUACUGGGGAAUAACUUCGAGAAAUCGGCGCUAAUACCCCAUAACAUUGCGAAGAGGCAUCUCUGUGCAAUUAAAGCUCCGGCGGUAUAAGUAUGGCAUGCGUCCAAUUAGCUAGUUGGUGAGGUAACGGCUCACCAAGGCUACGAUUGGUAGGGGUUCUGAGAGGAUGAUCCCCCACACUGGUACUGAGACACGGACCAGACUCCUACGGGAGGCAGCAGUGAGGAAUAUUGCGCAAUGGACGAAAGUCUGACGCAGCCAUGCCGCGUGCAGGAUGACGGCCCUAUGGGUUGUAAACUGCUUUUGUACGGGAAUAAACCCUUCUACGUGUAGGAGGCUGAAGGUACCGUAAGAAUAAGCACCGGCUAACUCCGUGCCAGCCGCCGCCGUAAGAC
rnacentral:rRNA from 1 species